rnacentral:rRNA from 1 species
GACGAACGCUGGCGGCGUGCUUAACACAUGCAAGUCGAACGGCAAGGCCCUGCUUUUGUGGGGUGCUCGAGUGGCGAACGGGUGCUUAACACGUGAGUAACCUUCCCUUGACUUUGGGAUAACUUCAGGAAACUGGGGCUAAUACCGGAUAGGAGCUCCUGCUGCAUGGUGGGGGUUGGAAAGUUUCGGCGGUUGGGGAUGGACUCGCGGCUUAUCAGCUUGUUUGUGGGGUAGUGGCUUACCAAGGCUUUGACGGGUAGCCGGCCUGAGAGGGUGACCGGCCACAUUGGGACUGAGAUACGGCCCAGACUCCUACGGGAGGCAGCAGUGGGGAAUAUUGCACAAUGGGCGGAAGCCUGAUGCAGCAACGCCGCGUGCGGGAUGACGGCCUUCGGGUUGUAAACCGCUUUCGCCUGUGACGAAGCGUGAGUGACGGUAAUGGGUAAAGAAGCACCGGCUAACUACGUG